ACGAACGCUGGCGGCGUGCUUAACACAUGCAAGUCGAACGGAAAGGCCCUGCUUUUGUGGGGUGCUCGAGUGGCGAACGGGUGAGUAACACGUGAGUAACCUGCCCUUGACUUUGGUAUAACUUCAGGAAACUGGGGCUAAUACCGGAUAGGAGCUCCUGCUGCAUGGUGGGGGUUGGAAAGUUUCGGCGGUUGGGGAUGGACUCGCGGCUUAUCAGCUUGUUGGUGGGGUAGUGGCUUACCAAGGCUUUGACGGGUAGCCGGCCUGAGAGGGUGACCGGCCAAAUUGGGACUGAGAUACGGCCCAGACUCCUACGGGAGGCAGCAGUGGGGAAUAUUGCACAAUGGGCGGAAGCCUGAUGCAGCAACGCCGCGUGCGGGAUGACGGCCUUCGGGUUGUAAACCGCUUUCGCCUGUGACGAAGCGUGAGUGACGGUAAUGGGUAAAGAAGCACCGGCUAACUACGUG
rnacentral:rRNA from 1 species